rnacentral:lncRNA from 1 species
GCCUGAAGCAAAGCAGCUUGGUGACAAGCUAUUCUGAACAAGUUAUGUUUGCUGAAUUUGAACAGAAAGAUGCUUAGUGUCUCUGUAUCCCAAGCUAAUACCACCACCACCAGUUGAAAAUGCACAUGGGGGUGGGAUGUUAUCCUGCCUGAUGCUCCAGUGGCCCAAAGAAGACAGUAAUGAGGGAGGGAAUGUUAAAACCAUACAGAAAACCUUUGGGGAGGAAGGAUGGAAUGAUGAACGAAGGUCGCCUGAAUAGCAGAGGUCGAGGUAAGUGCUCUGACCAUACAUGGUCUUACUUAAUUCUCCUAGGGAGGUAGCUUCUCUAUAAACCCAGAAACAGACUCAGAAACCAAAGAACUUACCCACAUUCACCCAGCCAACACAUGAGUUUGUCUCCAGAGUCCUCACUCUUCCUCCUGCCAUCUUUACCUCAUUAUUUCUGACAGAAAUUCUCCAUUUCUAGUAUACCCCCCUUCUCAGGACAGGGACUAGCUGUG